GCGGAAGUGGCGGAACUGGCAGACGCACCAGCUUGAGGGGCUGACGCUCGCAAGAGCGUGGGGGUUCGAAUCCCCCCUUCCGCACCA
rnacentral:tRNA from 2 species